CGGCACGGAGGAGGAAGCAGCGAUGGGGGACAUCGUCGCUGCCUCAGGUAAGUUACUGAAGGGGUUUUCACCUCUUCAGCAACCGGGGAUUGGGAGGGAGAGGGGACCUGCAGUGCCAGGAAAACGGAUUCUUUUCCUGGCACUGGAGUUUCCCUUUAAGUAAACUAGCUGGCAUCGAUGUAGUUAUGUUGAAUGGGUAAACUAUCUGUGCAAAAUCAUUACCAGGUGGAAAUGUAUUUUUCUGGUGCAUAAUGUAUAGUUAUUAUUUUGUUGUGUUAAACAUUCUAGAUCCAGUAUUCCUACCUUUCAUGAUGAAUACAAGCACUGGCCAUUUGUCAUUAUUAUUAUUAGCUUUAGUAAUCAUUGAUGGCUUACCAGUAAAUACCAUCUUUACCUAAACCUCUGACAGUGGCGGAGACAGAACCUAAAUACAGGUGGGGCAUGGGUAGAUUAUUUAAAGGAGCACUCAAUGCACCUUAACCACUGUAGGCUGCUGUAGUUGUUAUGGUGCCAGGAGUGCCCUGGUGCCUAUUCAGAAAAGGUAGACAUACUGGUUUGUUUCAACACCCCAAAGUCAGUGUUGUGCUAAAUUAG